rnacentral:rRNA from 1 species
AACGAACGCUGGCGGCAGGCCUAACACAUGCAAGUCGAGCGCGCCUUUCGGGUGAGCGGCGGACGGGGUUAGUAACGCGUGGGAACGUGCCCUUUUAGCUCAGAGUAGCCCCUGGAAAACGGGGGAGUAAUACUGGAUACGCCCUUGGGGGAAUAAGGAUCGGCCCGCGUUAGAUUAGGUAGUUGGUAGGGGUAACGCCUACCAAGCCUACGAUCUAUAGCUGGUUUGAGAGGAUGAUCAGCAAACACU